UCGGAUAUGGUGUAACGGCUAACAUUGCCGCCUCUCAUCUUAUAUGUACCUAAAACUAUGAUUCGCGGCAGCUCGGGGUUCGAUUCCCCGUAUCCGAA